UUCACACAUUCACAGUCCCGCCCUGAUCAGAUCCAUGUGUCAAUAUUGCCUCAUCAUUACAGCGCCACCUGCUGGCUACAGGAAGUGACAUGUUUUAUACUUUGAUGCACUGCUCCUGGCUGCUUUACCAUAAACAGCUCAGUCAAGCCAUUGGAUCAUGGUCAGAAUUGUGACAUUUCCUCAAACCGUGUAAACAUUGAGGUGUGGCAAAGUUUCAUUUAUUAUUAUUAUUAUUAUAAACUAGUCGAUGUACAGGUAUUAUAUUGUUAUAGAUAAGAUAAAAUGAAUUAAAUUUAAAAACAAAGUGUGGCUAACAGGAUACAAAUCUGUAGAAUAAGAAUAAAUAUGAAUUCAUUAAUUAUAAAAACUAAAAUAUUAAAACGUAAUAAUAGUAUUAUCUAAUACUAGAAGGGAGACUUUGUUGUCGGCCAUGUUUGAAGGUGAGUCUUCAGUUGAGAUGAAAUCAUAAGAAAUAAAUGGGCAGUAGAUGCAGUGAUGCUAAAACUGCGAUGAUAUGACGAGAUCUGUACGUAGUUCAUCUGUCGCUGAAUUCUGGAGGAGUUGCAGUUGAGAGACUGAGUGGAAGUUUAAUCAGGUGAAAAGAGAGACGUGAUGAUUUAAAAGUAUGUAUAUGUAAAAUUAAUAACUUGUUCUUUGAGGUAGAAAUUAAGUUUGUGUCUGAACUUGGAAGUUACUUCUUAAAUCAACACUAUGUAACUGUUACUGAGCAACAGCGCCCCCUGCAGCCACGCAAGGUGAUUCAGUGGUUCAAUGGUGUUGAUUUGAUGUCAGCAGUGAAGAGAAGAGGACCGAGGAUUGAGCCUUGUGGAACUCCUUUUCUAAUCAUCAUGACACUGGAUCUUUGAAUCACUAGAAGCUACUGCUUGGUUAUAUCAGGUCUGUGGGUUAGUGACCAUUCUCUCUGUUCACAGUCAGUGAAGAAGUGAACAGUCAAGCUGCUGUUUCAAGGUAGAGACGUUGCAUAGUGUUGAUUGAAUUGAAUUUAAUAGUGUCAGACCUUGUCUGGUAAAAGACGUCCGAUUUUUUUAAACCUACAUUUUUACUGGAAUUAUUGAGAAACUAAGAAUCGAAUAGAUGUGGAAACAGAUCAUUGGAUAAAAGAAAAAAUGUGAACGGGAACAUUUGCACCGUUACUCUAUUUAAUCUGCUCAUUAAAUUAAAUAUUAUGUUGGAUUCCUUAUAUAACUUGUGUGAAACAAGGUUUAAGUUGAAAUUAAAAAGAAUGAAAUGUACUUUGAUUUUGUUCAAACUGAGUGAUGAGAUCAUUCAGAACAAAUCAUGUCAUAUAUUUAUAACUCAGGUAUAAUCAGGAGUCUUUUACAUACACAGACACGUCCCUGCUGCAAAUACAGUCUUUGUUUCUGUUGAGUAUUUAAAGGAUCUUUGCUUUUUUAAUGCUGAGCUCUGGAUUUAAUGACUUCAUUCAUUGUAGAAUAUUAUUUUUCUUGCUGGUGCUUAGUUUGCCUGUUAUUUGAUUUACAAUCAGUUAUUCUUUAUUAAGUACUUUAAACUCACUUUAUGUUUAGGAAUUCAUUUUACUGUUUUCAAACUGUUUUAUAAAUAUCAUUGUAAUAAACCUCUUGAAUCUGCUUUGUGUGUGAAAUGGGUUAGGGUUAUCUGGGGUUAGGGGUUAUCUGGGGUUAGGGUUAUCUGGGGUUAGGGUUAUCUGGGGUUAGGGUUAUCUGGGGUUAGGGGUUACAUUUAUCUGCUCAGUGAUAAUGUACGAAUCACGGGACAUGUAUUUGAUAUUUGUAUUUUCUAUUUUAAAAGUUUGCUUGACUUUAAGUCUCCAAUAUAUCACUGUUGAUCAAUGCCAAUGUUAUUGAUGUUAACUUAAGACACAGUUUCUCAAGUUUUCUCUUUGUGAUUGUGUCUUUUUGUUAAAAUCAAAUAAUUAAAGUGUGUUAGUCUGAUUGAA